GGACCAGAAGUCAGAUGGAUCUGAAGGCUCCAACACCUUCUUAGUUCCCACAAACCAGGGAGGAAAUCACACCAGACCAGGAGCUGAGGUGAUUCAAUCCUGUUUAUUAGUUUGAAUAGGAAGGAAAUUGUGUGCAAAAGAAAUGUGGGGAAGAGGAGCCUCUGGAGAAAGAAAAAACUGGUGCUCCUCUAGGGCAGUCCAGUAGGGCAAUGAGCAAAGCACUGUCAACAGCCCUUUGAGCCUUAGGACUGCAACCUUCGUGGAUUUAAAUAAAGUGGCUCAUAUGUUGAAUGAUAAGCACCCGUGAAAUACAACAAAUUUGCAAGUCUACUCUCCUGAUCUUUAGGAAAAGAUGAAAAUAUAUAUGAAUUAAAUGUUUGUGUCUUAGUUUAUUUAUUUUUAAAGCACACAGUCUAUGGGAACAUUGGAUAAGGAGGGGUAAUUCUGGUGGUGGAAUCAGUCAUUAAAAACUGCAAAGCUAAGAGUCAACUGAACUCACUCGGUUUUGGGUGUUGUCUUGUAUUGUUCAUUCAACCUGAAUGUGGCAGUUGGUGAUGGCAUUAAGUGGUUGUGUCUUGCUAUAACACAAUACUAUGUUUGUUUUAAAUCUUCACGUUGUUGUUGUUUCUCCUUCUUCCCAUCAACAGUAGACUAUGUUUCUCAGCACAUCACCUCCAGAGCGGAUAGAACCAGCUAAUUGGAACCCCUAUAGACGUAAUGCAACAGAUGACGGCGGUGCAUUAGUGACUAAGCCUGAAGGAGAAAAUUGCUUCAGGUUGCUUCAGGUAACUAAUUCACACCUCUUGAAAUGAUCCAUGACCUGAAACACAGCUAUCCUCUGAAAUCUGCACUUAUCUGAAAUUUGCAGCUUAGUACAGGGAUUUAUUAAAGGGAUGUAUGCAAAAAUAAAUAAAUAAAUGCAUCUGUUGCUGAAAAAAGUGAUUAUAUUAGGGGGAAAUCUUGAAACAAUUUGUAUAUUGGGGAGAAUCAGAUUCAAAAUGUGUACAUUAGGGGAAAUGUGCAGUAAAAAACUUGUGCAUUUUCAUGAAGGCAUUUAUUUAUUUUUAAAAUCACAAACUGAUGCAGAAAUGUGGUCGACUGAACUUGAUUAGAAAAAUGAGUAACCAAGAGAAACCAAAAUUGAUUUGUCCAUCCUUAUGGUGAAGGAAUGGGUUUCCCAUAUCUAAAACCUGACUGUGCAGUCAGUCUGAAACGGGCCCCAAAAUCCCCAUUUUUCCUUCUCCAAGGGUGCAUUAGCUAAAAACCAUUAACUUGAGCACUUGAGCAAAUGUAUAACAGGAACCCAGCUGUAUAAACUGGCAGUGAAUGCAACUCAUUAAUUGCACAACUUCAGUCAAUCUACUGGAUGAUGAUGAGCCUGUGCUCUUAGGAAAAGCAAUAUAUACUUGAAAAAUGGAAAGAAUGGAGCCUCAGCUGUCAGCUACAGUUUCUACAUCUCAGACCAAUCACUAAGGCUUCAGUUAUUGGAAAGAAUGUGUAUCAAGUUCAAGUUCUGUAACUGUUAGUAGUGCAUGCUGGUACCACAAGUUUAUCCUAGGCCAGAGGUUUCCAACCUUUUUGAGUCCAUGCCCCCCUUGACCAACUACAUUCUUUCUGUGCCACACCCCAUUGCCCCAAAGAGAGGUGCUGCCUCAUAUUGCCCCACAGGGGCCUGGGAAGAGGAUGCCCCCAGUCUUAGUGACCCGAUGAAGACUGGCCAAAGGUGGACAUGAGCCCUGCACAGGGGAAAGAUUCUCCUUCAUCAUGAGGCACUCAGCUCCCAGGCAAGCCUUGCUCACAGCAAGCUCAGGAAAGUCCAGGACACUAGUCUGUCCAUUCCCAAAAGUAAGGGCUGGAGGGCUGGCUGGCUGGCUGGGCUCCCUCACCCACUUCCUUGCUUACUCUGAGGCCGCCUCAGCUUCUGGCAACCAGCACCCCCUGACCAGCCCCAGAGGCACCAUUCGCCUGGGGAGCUAGGAGCAAGGGCUGUUGCAACAAACAGCCACACAAAUCUUUGGGAGGCAGAGACGUUAGAAGGCAUCAGAGGAGGGAGGGAAGGAAAGAGGGGCAGAGGCCAGUGUUGCCCACGACACCCCUGCCCACCAUUCAAGGCACCCCAGGGUGCCACGGCACACUGGUUGAAAACCACUGUCCUAGGCCAGUGCUGACUGGAAGUUGAUUUUAAUCAUUGUACAUCCUGACCACCAUCUGACCUGUGCCUCCUUUAUGCCACCAUGCAGGAACUGCUGCAGGCGCAAACCCUAUAUGCAGUUGUAGUUUUGAAAUUUGUGCCAGGCAGGAACAGUGCCAAUUUUGCCUGCGUCAUCAGCAAAAGUAGCGUGUGGGUGGAAAUCCCUGGCACUGCACAUCGUGAAUAUUAUGCUGAUCCUCUUCUUCCUCAUUCAUUUGGACUCAAAACGGAACGUGGGUGGGAAAUGCCUUUCCACUAUAAGAAUUUUUAAAAAGCAUUUCCCCAUCACUAAGUGCUCAAAUGCAUCUCAGAGAGACUGGACAGACUGUCCAAUUGUGAAUAGAUGGAGCCUACGAGGAAAAUAUGUACCUGUACAAGCUACGAGAGGGGUGGGGGAUGCCAUACCAAUGAGAGACAAUCACAAAAAUGACGCUUCCCUUAGAAGGACCAUGAAACCAUUCUUAUUGUCUUUCCAAAGGCAAGAUAUAUUUAUUUUUCUUUUCAUCGAGCUUUUGGACAUAAAUCCAUUUUUAAGGAGCCCCUUCUUUUAGGAAUGAUAUGUAUGUAUGCGUGUAGAGCUUUUCUUCUGGGGGUAUGCAGGGGUACCCCUAAACAUUUUGUGAAUCUUUGUACUUUUGUCCAUUUACUGUAUUUGUUUUUCCGAUUUGAACUAUAAAAUGGUGAUUUUCUUGAGUCGAAAUGAGAAUACCCCUAAACAUUUUUUUAAAGAAAAAAAGCACUGUAUGUAUGUAUGUAUUUCUCACUCUUCAUUAAAAUCCUUGGGCAGAUGACA